GCAGACGCCGGGCGGGCCCCACGCCAAGGAACGCAGGCACCUGGAGAAGCUGAGAAGUCGAGAAAAUGGAUUCUCGCCUGGAGCCUCCAGAAGGAGCACAACCUUGCCAACACCUGGAUUUUAGGACUUCAGACCUCAAGAACUCUGUACUUUCCAGGCAGAAAGCACGUGUUAAACUAGCUCGUGAGCAUCCAGCAGAAGCUGAGGAAGCGGCAAACAGCAGGGCACAGGGCUGGGAAGGAGGAUCCGUUGGGAGCUCUCUCCGGGUCAGAGGCACGGGGGCCUCCGAAUAGCCACCACCUUACCGUCCCCA